GGGCCCGUAGCUCAGCCAGGUAGAGUACCGGACUUUUAACUAUUAAUAGAAAGAAAUCCGGCUGUCUGGGGUUCGAAUCCCCACGGGCCCG
rfam:Candidatus Nitrocosmicus oleophilus strain MY3, complete genome.